UACGUAGGGGGGCGAGCGUUGUCCGGAAUUAUUGGGCGUAAAGAGCGUGUAGGCUGUUCGGUAAGUCUGCCGUGAAAACCUGAGGCUCAACCUCGGGCGUGCGGUGGAUACUGCCGGGCUAGAGGACGGUAGAGGCGAGUGGAAUUCCCGGUGUAGCGGUGAAAUGCGCAGAUAUCAGGAGGAACACCAAUUGCGAAGGCAGCUCGCUGGGACGGUACUGACGCUGAGACGCGAAAGCGUGGGGAGCGAACAGG
rnacentral:rRNA from 1 species